CAGUAGCCGCGGGAAUACGUAGGUCCCGAGCGUUGUCCGGAUUUAUUGGGCGUAAAGCGAGCGCAGGCGGUUAGAUAAGUCUGAAGUUAAAGGCUGUGGCUUAACCAUAGUACGCUUUGGAAACUGUUUAACUUGAGUGCAAGAGGGGAGAGUGGAAUUCCAUGUGUAGCGGUGAAAUGCGUAGAUAUAUGGAGGAACACCGGUGGCGAAAGCGGCUCUCUGGCUUGUAACUGACGCUGAGGCUCGAAAGCGUGGGGCGCAAACAGGAUUAGAGACCCGCGUAGUCCCUGUCUCUUAUACA
rnacentral:rRNA from 1 species